UCGAAUAAACUUGAACAGGCUGUUGCUGGUCCUUCGGGAUAUGUGCACGCUUGUCAUCUUUGUUGUUUCUCCAACUGUGCACAUAUUGUAGACCUGUUUGUCGUUGGAUUCGUUCCGAGUUGGGGACUGCCGUGCUAAGGUCGGCUUUGCCCUUGAAGCAGGUCUAUGUCAUUUUUUCACAACCUCUCGAAUGUGUUUAGAAUGUUGAAAAUCAGGUCUUCGUACCUAUAAAGUUAUAAAUA
rnacentral:misc_RNA from 1 species